rnacentral:rRNA from 1 species
GCGAAGCUUUUCAGUAGUUUACUACAGAAAAUGACUGAGCGACGAACGGGUGAGUAACGCGUGAGCAAUCUACCUUAGUUACAGGGAUAGCCCGAGGAAACUCGGAUUAAUACCUGAUAUUCCUUACAUUUCGCAUGAAAUCAAAAGGAAAGGUCAGCCGAACUAAGAUGAGCUCGCGUUCUAUCAGCUAGUUGGUGAGGUAAAGCUCACCAAGGCAACGACGGAUAGCUGGUCUGAGAGGACGAUCAGCCACACUGGGACUGAGACACGGCCCAGACUCCUACGGGAGGCUGCAGCAGGGAAUAUUGCGCAAUGAGCGAAAGCUUGACGCAGCGACACCGCGUGUGGGAUGACGGAUCUAGGUUUGUAAACCACUUUCAGGAGGGAAGAAAAUGACGGUACCUCCACAAGAAGCCCCGGCCAACUACGUGCCAGCAGCCGCGGUAAUACGUAGGGGGCGAGCGUUGUCCGGAUUUAUUGGGCGUAAAGAGCUCGUAGGCGGUUCAGCAAGUCGGUCGUAAAAGUUCAGGGCUCAACCCUGAAAUGUCGAUCGAUACUGUUGUGACUAGGAUACGGUAGAGGUGAGUGGAAUUCCGAGUGUAGCGGUGAAAUGCGUAGAUAUUCGGAGGAACACCAAUUGCGAAGGCAGCUCACUGGGCCGCUAUCGACGC